rnacentral:rRNA from 1 species
CGGAUAACGGGGAGGAAGGUGGGGAUGACGUCAAGUCNUCAUGGCCUUUAUGUCCAGGGNACACACGUGNUACAAUGGCCGGUACAAACCGCUGCAAACCCGCGAGGGGGAGCCAAUCGGAAAAAGCCGGCCUCAGUUCGGAUUGGAGUCUGCAANUCGACUCCAUGAAGCUGGAAUCGCUAGUAAUCGUGGAUCAGCAUGCCACGGUGAAUACGUUCCCGGGCCUUGUACACACCGCCCGUCACAUCACGAAAGUGGGUUG